AAGUCGUGAGGCGGAGCUAAUCCCUUAAAGCCAUUCUCAGUUCGGAUUGUAGGCUGAAACUCGCCUACAUGAAGCUGGAGUUACUAGUAAUCGCAGAUCAGAAUGCUGCGGUGAAUGCGUUCCCGGGUCUUGUACACACCGCCCGUCACACCAUGGGAGUCGGAAAUGCCCGAAGUCUGUGACCGAACCGAAAGGAAGGAGCAGCCGAAGGCAGGUCGGAUGACUGGGGUGAAGUCGUAACAAGGUAAC
rnacentral:rRNA from 1 species